rfam:Cochliobolus sativus ND90Pr unplaced genomic scaffold COCSAscaffold_2, whole genome shotgun sequence.
UCCUCCGUGGCGCAAUUGGCUAGCGCGUCUGACUGUUACAGAUUUAUCUUGUAGCGUAUCAGGAGGUUGAAAGUUCGAGCCUUUCCGGGGGAG